GCCAGGGGCGAUAGCACGUUGAAUACACUGGUUUCCAGUGGUUCACUGAAGUUAAGCAACGUAGCGCGUGGUUGGUAUCUGGAUGAGUAACCUUCUGGAUAAUCGCGUGCAGCUGGUU
rnacentral:rRNA from 1 species